AUGAGCCUACGGGAGGCAGCAGUGGGGAAUCUUGCACAAUGGGCGAAAGCCUGAUGCAGCAACGCCGCGCGAGCGAAGAAGGCCUUUGGGUCGUAAAGCUCUGUCCUAAGGGAAGAAGGAAGUGACGGUACCUUAGGAGGAAGCCCCGGCUAACUACGUGCCAGCAGCCGCGGUAAUACGUAGGGGGCAAGCGUUAUCCGGAAUUAUUGGGCGUAAAGAGUACGUAGGCGGUUCUUUAAGCGUAGGGUCUGAGGCGAUGGCUUAACCAUCUUUCGCCCUGUGCACUG
rnacentral:rRNA from 1 species